rnacentral:tmRNA from 1 species
GGGGGUGAUCAGGGCUCGACAGGGGGAACGGGCGGCAUGCUGUGCAGGCGGUGGUUGAUCGAAGGGCCACCUAAAAAAUCGAUCACCAAUACGUGCGAAUUACAAUUUCGCAUACGCCGCCUAACUGACGGCUAUAUCCCCGACUGAAGCCUGUAGGACGGGGACGAACGCACAGGCGCCCUUCCGUCGGGGCUGAUGGCGGAUACCGGAUGAGCGGUUGACCCUGACCGCCGGCCGGGAAUAUCGCCGAGAGGCGAAACAGGGUCUCUGUCGCGGGUGCCUGGUCUCGAGGCGAGCCCGGGGCGAGAUGUCACCAUAUCGAGGCUAAGCCUGUAGAUCACGUGCCGGACGCCUUCUGGACGCGGGUUCGAUUCCCGCCACCUCCACCA